GACAGAGGGUGCAAACGUUGUUCGGAAUUACUGGGCGUAAAGCGAGUGUAGGCGGUUUGGUAAGUCGGAUGUGAAAGCCCCGGGCUCAACCCGGGAAGUGCACUCGAUACUGCCAAGCUAGAGUGUCGGAGAGGUUGGUGGAAUUCUCGGUGUAGAGGUGAAAUUCGUAGAGAUCGGAAGGAACGCCCGUGGCGAAAGCGAGGUCCUGGACGCCUACUGACGCUGAGACGCGAAAGCCAGGGGAGCGAACGGG
rnacentral:rRNA from 1 species